rnacentral:rRNA from 1 species
CAGUAGCCGCGGUAAUGCGAAGGGUGCAAGCGUUAAUCGGAAUUACUGGGCGUAAAGCGUGCGUAGGCGGUGAGUUAAGUCUGCUGUGAAAUCCCCGGGCUCAACCUGGGAAUGGCAGUGGAUACUGGCUCGCUAGAGUGUGUCAGAGGAUGGUGGAAUUCCCGGUGUAGCAGUGAAAUGCGUAGAGAUCGGAAGGAACAUCUGUGGCGAAGGCGACUAUCUGGGCCAACACUGACACUGAGGCACGAAAGCGUGGGGAGCAAACAGGAUUAGAUACCCCAGUAGUCCCUGUCUCUUAUAC